AUCGCUUCUCGGCCUUUUGGCUAAGAUCGAAUACAGUAUCCGUUCUGGUCAGCUUAAUAAUCUAUGACACACAAACGGGGGGAACCCCAUACGUUAUGGAAACAAGGAAAUUCCACUUAUCACUCGCAGUUCUUCAACUGAGGAAGUACUGCCCUUAAUGACAAUGUUUUUAAUCCUUUUUUCUUAGGUAACUAAAUACUCCCU
rnacentral:snRNA from 1 species